rnacentral:lncRNA from 1 species
AGAGUUCACAUUUUUUUCCUGACCAUCAGUCAGUGUGUGAUGUUUUCAUGAGGAAUCUGGAUGAACUUGGCUGGAAAGACUGGGAGGAGCCCUGUGGACUCCAGCAAGCAGAAUGUGCAGCAGGUAGUGAGUGCCGCUCAGGAGACUGUCGUCCAAGUAAACUGCAGAGGAAAUUAUUUCUUAGUUCUGUACAAAAGGAGGCUCUUGGCUCAGUGUGCCUGCAUUCCAAAGCUGAGGAGAGAAGAAAGUGAUUAGUUUUGGAAUGCUGGAUUCACUGUGGUUUGCAGCUCUGGGGUGCUGUGCAGCAGCAGGUGACAAGAAAAACAGAAAGUGAGCAUUCAGAACUGGAGUCUACAGAAAAGCAAACAUCAGGAUUCAGAGACUUGGAGAGCCCUCAUCCAGUGGCUAAUGGAAACAGAGUCAGACACCCACAGCUAUACACUGAACUGAACUCUGGAAUCCAGUUGCAGAGAGGGAGGAAUGAAGAUAAAAGCAGUUGGGACCAGGCUGGUGAAUCCCACAGAAACAACUGGCUUGAACAAGGGAGAACACAAGGACCCCAGACUGCUGUCUGGGAGGCCAGCAAGGGACUGUUCCAGACACCUGAACAUGGGUGUUAAUGAGGAGGCCUCAGCACUCUAUGGACCCCCUGGUAGUGGAUCAGUAUUUUUCCCUGGUGUAAGAAGGGACUUUGAGAGCCCAUCCCACGUGAAGGGAUAUUCUAGGCCUGAACCCAUCCUAGGCCCUCUCCAAGAUGAUGUGGUGCACUUUGGGAUCCCCCAUGGAGGGCCCUACCCUCCCUGGGAAUUGGAGCAGGGGUGGUAUGGGGGGCUGGUCGGG